UUGUCCGUGUUUUGUAUUAUGUUGCGUUUAUUUAUUAAAACACUCUCACUCCCUGAACUUGCUUCCCGACUCUCAGCGCACCUCGUUACACUGACUCACUGCAGCUACAAUAAGGACAUCAGAUGACAGGCGGUAAUCUGCACUACGUGAGUCAAAUCUGGGCCCUGCUGUCUUCCCACCAGGACAUCUGCCCCCACCAUGCAGCCGAUGCCCAGCAGACACACCCCAACGCCCACAAAAUGCACGGCCUUGUACCUCACCAGCAGGAAGAACCAGGACAGCAGCA